rnacentral:miRNA from 1 species
GGAAUCUUGUUAAAAUGCAGACUUUGAUUCAGAAGGUCUAGGGUGCAUUCCAGAUUUUGCAUUCUUAACAAGUUC